rnacentral:rRNA from 1 species
UACGUAGGGGGCGAGCGUUGUCCGGAAUCACUGGGCGUAAAGGGCGCGUAGGCGGCCUGAUAAGUAGGGGGUGAAAUCCUGCGGCUCAACCGCAGGGCUGCCUUCUAAACUGUCAGGCUGGAGCACGGUAGAGGCAGAUGGAAUUCCCGGUGUAGCGGUGGAAUGCGUAGAGAUCGGGAAGAACACCAGUGGCGAAGGCGGUCUGCUGGGCCGUUGCUGACGCUGAGGCGCGACAGCGUGGGGAGCAAACAGG